CCUACGGGAGGCAGCAGUGAGGAAUAUUGGUCAAUGGACGCGAGCCUGAACCAGCCAAGUAGCGUGAAGGAUGACUGCCCUAUGGGUUGUAAACUUCUUUUAUAUGGGAAUAAAAUGUUCCACGUGUGGGAUUUUGUAUGUACUUUAUGAAUAAGGAUCGGCUAACUCCGUGCCAGCAGCCGCGGUAAUACGGAGGAUCCGAGCGUUAUCCGGAUUUAUUGGGUUUAAAGGGAGCGUAGGUGGAUUGUUAAGUCAGUUGUGAAAGUUUGCGGCUCAACCGUAAAAUUGCAGUUGAUACUGGCAGUCUUGAGUACAGUAGAGGUAGGCGGAAUUCGUGGUGUAGCGGUGAAAUGCUUAGAUAUCACGAAGAACUCCGAUUGCGAAGGCAGCUCACUAAACUGCAACUGACACUGAGGCUCGAAAGUGUGGGUAUCAAACAGGAUUAGAUACCCGUGUAGUC
rnacentral:rRNA from 1 species